UACGUAGGUGGCAAGCGUUGUCCGGAUUUACUGGGCGUAAAGAGCGCGCAGGCGGUCGUUCAAGUCGCGUGUGAAAGCCCCCGGCUCAACUGGGGAGGGUCACGCGAUACUGAUCGACUCGAAGGCAGGAGAGGGAAGUGGAAUUCCCGGUGUAGUGGUGAAAUGCGUAGAUAUCGGGGAGGAACACCAGUGGCGGAGGCGACUUCCUGGCCUGUUCUUGACGCUGAGGCGCGAAAGCUAGGGGAGCAAACGGGG
rnacentral:rRNA from 1 species